AACGAACGCUGGCUGCAUGCCUAACACAUGCAAGUCGCACGAGACCUUCGGGUCUAGUGUCGCACGGGUGCGUAACGCGUUGGAACCUGCCCUUAGGUUCGGAAUAACUCCCCGACAGGGUUGCUAAUACCGGUUAAUGUCUUCGGACCAAAGAUUUAUCGCCUUUGGAUGUGCCCGCGUUGGAUUAGCUAGUUGGUAGGGUAAAAGCCUACCAAGGCGACGAUCCAUAGCUGGUCUGAGAGGAUGAUCAGCCACACUGGGACUGAGACACGGCCCAGACUCCUACGGGAGGCAGCAGUGGGGAAUAUUGGACAAUGGGCGAAAGCCUGAUCCAGCAAUGCCGCGUGAGUGAUGAAGGCCUUAGGGUUGUAAAGCUCUUUUACCCGGGAUGAUAAUGACAGUACCGGGAGAAUAAGCUCCGGCUAACUCCGUG
rnacentral:rRNA from 1 species